AACAAUUUAGAAGCGUAAUCGUUGGACCGACGGAAAACGAGAGUCGAUAAGCGCGCAUUGAGGGACAAGAAGCGGGAUUUUUUCAAUCACGGAAACACAGUGUGCGAAGAUGAGAGAGGUUUCCAAGAUGCUGCAACGAGAGACGAAGGUAGAAGCGAAACUGAAGGUCAGGGGGAUCGAAGAGUCAGAUGGACGAACAUAUACUACACACAUGGUGGAAGUAACAAGAUAUGCUCGUGUGCAGGCAUUUUUGCUGGCCGAGAGAGCGUGACUGAACUCAGCCAUCUUGGGCAACUCAAAUGCAUAUAAUAAGAAAAGAUUCAUGCAAAGAAAGUGAAAUAAUAACUACGAUUGAAACUUUUCAUCCAAACAAAACAAGUUAAUCACAAAAACGUCAAGGUGGCAUUAGAAUGAUGCAUUAUAUAUAUAAUCAUCACUUCUCAUAUAUAUUUGGAAAAUUUUCUCCCCGGGAGUGAGUCUUUCCCGUCUGACAUCUCCAAGUUUUCACUCGGUGCUGUAUCGAUCGUGUCAGGAAGUUUUCUCAUCGACCGAUGAGAAACUCGAUGGCUUUCGCCACUGCCGGAGGAGUACACGCAAAUGCAAAAUCGCGGUCUGUUGAGCUUGAAACUUUCGUGAUGAUCAAAAUUGCGCAUGUGUGUGUAUCGUCGUGUUUUAAACUCAACAGCCCGUAUUUCGACGAACACACGUUUAUAACGAUGUCAGCGCGCCACGAGUCGACUUAUUCGGUAAUUCCGAGUAGGAAUUUUGCUCUAAACAUCGAACGAUUAUCAAUUGUCUUGUUUAGUACCGAGCACCGUGUUAUCACCUGUGUUAGAAUGCGACUAGCGAUACUGGAAAUACUGACGUGCUAACACUGUCAUAAACGUAUCGUACGUAACGUACGUUCGGAACACGAGUCAUAAAUGUUUUCCUCCAUUCGAAUAUACGAUGUAAAUACGUUUGAAAAAAAA